ensembl:lncRNA
GAGCAGCAGGUGAUGUCGCGUGGCAAAAUUUAUUGAUUUAUGGGAGAAUUUUAAGUAUUAUUAGUGAAAAAAUGGUAAAAUUCAAUUAAGAAUCAUUUUUUGACUUUUGAAUGGGCCAAAAUUAAGUUGGCGUUACGCUCCAGUGGCAUACUUUUUUUUUUUUCGAUGGCGUCUGAUACAACAAAGACGCCCAGAGCUUCAAACAAAAAAAGAGUUGAGCCACCAAACAAGCGACUAAACACGGAACUAGAAAGCAGUCCGGAUAAUUCUUUUUCUUUUACACUGGAUAUGGAGGGAAUAUUGACCGAAAUAAAUGAGAAAUUAAAGAAGCUUGACAAGUUGGACUCAAUGUCGGAUGAUAUCAAAGAUCUAAAAGAGACUGUGAUCGCAAAUGGGAUAUCACUGGAGCAGACACGCAAGGAUCUUGAGUCUGUGAAAAAAAAGGUGAAGAACGUGCAGCGGUCUGUGAAAGAUGUUACCAGGGAAAACCUCAAGCUGAAGGAAAAAAUGCUGGAGAUGACAGCGCGCUCAAUGAGAGAUAAUUUGAUAUUCAGCGGUAUCCCCGAGAAGAAAAACGAGAAUGUGGAAGACGUGCUCAAAACCUUUUUUAUCAACGAGCUGGGUAUCAAUAAGGAGAUUGUUCAGAAGAUUUCAUUUCUCAGAGUGCACAGACUCGGACCUGUGAGACUAAAGAAAAGUUCAUACUCGAACGCUGUGGUAGAGGAGCAGGCCAAACCAAGAGCCAUCAUCGCCUGCUUCGAGCAUUACAGGUACAGAGAAAUGGUCUUUGGGUUGGGACCAAAGCUCAAGGGUAAAAGCUAUGGCAUUAAUCAGCAGUACCCUGUGGAGAUUGUGGACAGACGAAAAGCACUGCUUCCCAUAUUUAAAGAAGAAAAAAAGAACAAAAAAGAAAAGGGUAGAGUAAAACUUGUUGCUGAUAAACUUUAUAUCGAUGGCGAAAUAUACAAAGAUAUAACAAUCACACCAUGGCUAUUCUUAC